GACGAACGCUGGCGGCGUGCUUAACACAUGCAAGUCGAACGGAAAGGCCCUGCUUUUGUGUGGUGCUCGAUUGGCGAACGGGUGAGUAACACGUGAGUAACCUGCCCUUUACUUUGGGAUAACUUCAGGAAACUGGGUAUAAUACCCGAUAGGAGCUCCUGCUGCAUGGUGGGGGUUGGAAAGUUUCGGCGGUUUGGGCUGGACUCGCUGCUUAUCAGCUUGUUUGUGGGGUAGUUGCUUACCAAGGCUUUGACGGGUAGCCGGCCUGAGAGCGUGAACGGGCACAUUGGGACUACGAGACGGAGCAGAAUCGUACGGGAGGCAGCAGUGGGGAGUAUUGCACAAUGGGGGGACGUGUGAUGCAGAAACCCCGGGUGCGGGAUGACGGCUUUCGGGUUGUAAACAGAUUUCGACUGUGACGAAGCGUGAGUGACGGUAAUGGGUCAAGAAGCACCGGCUAACUACGUG
rnacentral:rRNA from 1 species